GACGAACGCUGGCGGCGUGCUUAACACAUGCAAGUCGAGCGGUAAGGCCCUUUCGGGGGUACACGAGCGGCGAACGGGUGAGUAACACGUGGGUGACCUGCCUCUAGCUCUGGGAUAAGCCCGGGAAACUGGGUCUAAUACUGGAUAUGACUCCAUGACGCAUGUUGUGGGGUGGAAAGCCUUGUGCGGCUAGAGAUGGGGCCCGCGGCCUAUCAGCUUGUUGGUGGGGGAUGGCCUACCAAGGCGACGACGGGUAGCCGGCCUGAGAGGGCGACCGGCCACACUGGGACUGAGACACGGCCCAGACUCCUACGGGAGGCAGCAGUGGGGAAUCUUGCGCAAUGGGCGAAAGCCUGACGCAGCGACGCCGCGUGAGGGAUGACGGCCUGG
rnacentral:rRNA from 1 species